AUCUUCGUUGGGGUAUGCGCGGCUCGUGCUUUCGCUUCAGUCGGAAGGUGCAUUAAAGCCAGAGAGUGUUGAGAAAAUGGAGGACUGCGAAUAUACCUUCACUAACAAGAUGAGCUGCGUGUGGAGGAAGCGAAAAUGGGUGAAAAAGG